rnacentral:lncRNA from 1 species
GGCGGCGCAAAAGGGAACCCAGACUUGGCCCCGGGCUGGGUGGGAAAGGCGAGCCUGGUUCUAAACAUCUGAACCGGAUCCCUAGGAGAACUGAUGUCGAGAUCCCCAGGAAACCCAUAAUCUUCUCGGGGCGAUCUCAGGUGCAGGGGAUUUUUGUUCAUUCAUAUCCAGAGGCAUCCAUCCCUCCCAACUCAAGGCAUCUUUUCUUCCACAAGUUGUAACCCCCCAAUGAAGCCACCUCGCCCCUUUCCCUCCGCCACCUAGAGUCAGGAUCAGGUAUGGACACCGACUUUCCAGUCUCCCUGUCUCCAGCCUUUCUCAAAGUAACCAGGGUACGUGGUCAAGCCUGCCCCAGGGUGUGUGCCCCCAACUUGCCCCGCAGCGUAACCCCCAGUACCUCGGGGCGCUGGGCCACCCGCGCCGCCCGCUCCGCCCUUCACGUGGUUCCUGCAGCUGGAACGGCUCCCGCCCCGCCCCCGCCCCGCGCUCUUCGCCCCGCCCCGGGCCCGCCGCGCUCCGCCCCGCUCGCCCCGCCGCUGCGUCGGGUGGUCCAGUCGCUGGGCAGCUCCCGUGGUUCCCGGGCCUCCUGCUGCAGCCCGUCCUGUCUCCAUGGCGACUCGGCGUCCCAGGCUCGCGGCUCGGAACCCAGCUCAAGUGCGGAGCGGGGCUGGCCUUCCUGGUCUGGCCUUCGCGGAAACUCCUUGGCUGGGCGGCCAGAGGGUAAGCAGCGCAGUAAUGACCGUUGGGCCUCUGGAACCCCUCGGCUGUCGAAGCACCCGCAGAGAAGUCUUGUCCCUGAGUUUUGUAUUCCUGAAAUUCCCAGCAACUACCUAGACAAGACCGAAGUUGUAAAGGCACCCAAAAGCAGACAGAAUGGCAGGUUGCUACUGUGUGAUCCAAAGGAGAAACUGAUGAGCGGCUCCAAUAAAGAAAAGCCACAGAAAUCCUCCUUUGGACGGAGACCAAGAUUGUCCAGCAAGCUUUGUACUUCUCCAACACAGAUCCCGGGUGGAGCUACUGUGUUCUCAGCAAGGUGAAGUGAACAAGGAUUUGGUCCUUGCAAAGCAAGAGAAAAAUAGUGAGUAUUGCCUUGAAGACAUUGAGGAGAACUUGUCAGACUCAACGGAUGGUGAUGGCGAAGAGGACAGCAACAACGAAGACGACGAAGGCCCCGCUAAGAAGGAGACUCGAGCCCCACUGGAGCUAAUGGCAGAAUUCCUGAGAGCAGAAAUGGGUCGAGACUACCAGCUGGCAAAAAAGUUAUGUCAGAUGAUCCUAAUCUAUGAACCAGAAAAUCCUGUGGCCAAAGAAUUUUUCUCACUUAUUGAAGAAAUAUUGCUGAAGGAGAAAGCUCAGGAGGAGGAGGAGGAAGAGGAAAGUGACGAGGACUCCAGCAGCGAGAGCGAGGUGGACAGCAGUGAGGACGGCAGCGAGGACAGCUCGGACGAGUGUGAGGACGGGUCCUAGCGGGUGCUGCCAUCACAAGAGUUAUUUUCCAGAGUAUAUGCCAUGCAAAUCCAAAUAUAACGUAGAGAGCUGCCGCGUGGCGUAACUGUGGCUUCUUCGGUGCUGAGUUCAAGCGUUCCGCAUUCCUAGUUUGAGCUCCUUGCUCACGUUUAAGGCUGACCAUGUAGGGAAGCAUGGAGGAGAUAGAAUGUGCCAGGAACACAGAACAGUAGAACAUAAAGUGCGCUCUACGUACUUCAUACAGCCUUACAACACUAUGUAGUAAGUAUGCUCUAUCCCCAUUUUACAGGUGAGAAAAGCAAGGUGGUGAGGGUAAAUAGUUUUCUCCUAUUUGUAGUGUCUAGAUUUGCCUCUGUAACAUCAUGGCUCAACAUCUGUUCUUCCAGUCCCCUUUCAAUGACCACAUCAAGCCUUAAAACAAAAUGGAACUCACUGUUCAUGUAGCAUGUGUCAGUAUAUGUGGUGUUCAGUUUCUCCUCCCUGGCCGAGAACAUAACCUCUGUGUUCCUCAAGCAGGACUUUGGUGUUCUUCAUGAUUGUAUCCCUAGCAACCCGGAAGUAACUGGAAAAUAAAGAUUGGUGUGCGUGCA